rnacentral:lncRNA from 1 species
CGACCGUGACUCCCUCGACUCCAGCUUCUCCGGUGCAGGCAGAUUUUUGCACCAACAGGAUUGGCGCUAGAGGAAGGGGUGUGUCUUCGCAGUACCCUUGUUCUUAAAGGAGAGCUCAACGGGACCACCUCCGGUCAUCUUCCCCGUCAUCCUCUUCUCCUUCCUCUGCUAGAUUUUCGCCCGAUGCCACCCCGCAGAGUGUCCGCGCAAUGAUCUACGGCCUCCGCGAC